rnacentral:lncRNA from 1 species
UAUGAAAAAUAAACCUCAAUAUUUUAUUAUUUUUCGGCCCAAGUUUAUCUCCUACAGCAUUCCAUAGUUCGGGCCCAAUUUACAAUACAUCACAUUCUAAUAUGGGCUUACAGGAUUAAUUUGUCUAUGUUAAUACACGACUAAAUAUAUGUAAAUGUUACAACUGCGGAGUCACUAACUGUUUGGUGCACAUGGCUUUUUAUACACAUAAUUACAUAGUAAAAUAAUUAUGGAACUAGGAAAAUUUCUCUAUUGCCCUGCGUCGAAGAAACAUAGCCUAAAUCGAAUUAAAGAAAAACUUACUUCCUGAAAAAUCAAACAACACAUGUGAGUUUUCUAAGGAGUAAUAAUUAUUGCACAACACACGCAGUCACACAAAUAUGUAAACAUUUCAAUCUAGUCAUCCGACUAGUUAUAUGCUCACGCAGCCAGUCACACAAAUGGCACAUACCAGCACUCACACGUAAUGUCACCUUCAAGUAAUCAAGCAAGUGGUAAUUAGUCAGUGGCACCACCUGAAACCCCAACGAGCCGUCCUCACACAUGGCUCGCCCUCUCGUACAUGUGCACCAGGGAGCCGAUCCCCCAUACGGCCAACUGGUCUAAUCCUCACUGACCAGUCCUCUCAUUGUUUUUCCACUCUCUCNN